rnacentral:rRNA from 1 species
UACGUAGGGUGCGAGCGUUAAUCGGAAUUACUGGGCGUAAAGCGUGCGCAGGCGGUUCGUUGUGUCUGAUGGUGAAAGCCCCGGGCUCACCUGGGAAUGGCAUUGGAAACUGGCGAGCUAGAGUGUGGCAGAGGGGGUGGAAGUUCCGACGUGUAGCAGUGAAAUGCGUAGAGAUGCGGAGGAACACCGAUGGCGAAGGCAGCCCCCUGGGCUAGCACUGACGCUCAGGCACGAAAGCGUGGGGAGCAAACAGG